ACACGACCGUACCGCAAACCGACACUGGUGCGCGAGAUGAGUAUUCUAAGGCGCUUGAGAGAACUCAGGAGAAGGAACUCGGCAAAUUGACACCGUAACUUCGGAAGAAGGUGUGCCUUUAGUAGGUGAAGUCCCUCGCGGAUGGAGCCCAAUGAGGUUGCAAAAAAUCGGUGGCUGCGACUGUUUAUUAAAAACACAGCACUCUGCAAACACGAAAGUGGACGUAUAGGGUGUGACGCCUGCCCGGUGCUGGAAGAUUAAAUGAUGGGGUGCAAGCUCUUGAUUGAAGUCCCAGUAAACGGCGGCCGUAACAAUAACGGUCCUAAGGUAGCGAAAUUCCUUGUCGGGUAAGUUCCGACCUGCACGAAUGGCGUAACGAUGGCCACACUGUCUCCUCCUGAGACUCAGCGAAGUUGAAAUGUUUGUGAUGAUGCAAUCUCCCCGCGGAAAGACGGAAAGACCCCAUGAACCUUUACUGUAGCUUUGUAUUGGACUUUGAACAGAUCUGUGUAGGAUAGGUGGGAGGCUUUGAAGCAGGGUCGCUAGAUCUUGUGGAGCCAACGUUGAAAUACCACCCUGGUGUGUUUGAGGUUCUAACCUAGGCCCGUAAUCCGGGUUGGGGACAGUGCAUGGUAGGCAGUUUGACUGGGGCGGUCUCCUCCCAAAGUGUAACGGAGGAGUUCGAAGGUACGCUAGUUACGGUCGGACAUCGUGACGAUAGUGCAAUGGCAUAAGCGUGCUUAACUGCGAGACUGACAAGUCGAGCAGAUGCGAAAGCAGGACAUAGUGAUCCGGUGGUUCUGUAUGGAAGGGCCAUCGCUCAACGGAUAAAAGGUACUCUGGGGAUAACAGGCUGAUACCGCCCAAGAGUUCAUAUCGACGGCGGUGUUUGGCACCUCGAUGUCGGCUCAUCUCAUCCUGGGGCUGUAGCCGGUCCCAAGGGUAUGGCUGUUCGCCAUUUAAAGAGGUACGUGAGCUGGGUUUAAAACGUCGUGAGACAGUUUGGUCCCUAUCUUCCGUGGGCGCUGCAGAUUUGAGGAAGCCUGCUCCUAGUACGAGAGGACCGGAGUGGACGCACCUCUGGUGUAUCGGUUGUCACGCCAGUGGCAUUGCCGAGUAGCUAUGUGCGGAAGAGAUAACCGCUGAAAGCAUCUAAGCGGGAAACUCGUUUCAAGAUGAGAUCUGCCGGGGCCUUGAGCCCCCUGAAGAGUCGUUCAAGACCAGGACGUUGAUAGGUCGGGUGUGGAAGCGCAGUAAUGCGUUAAGCUAACCGAUACUAAUUGCUCGUGCGGCUUGAUC
rnacentral:rRNA from 1 species